UACAGAGGGUGCAAGCGUUAAUCGGAAUUACUGGGCGUAAAGCGCACGUAGGCGGAUCGUUAAGUCGGGGUGAAAUCCUGGAGCUCAACUCCAGAACUGCCUUUGAUACUGACGAGGCUCGAGUCCGGGAGAGGUGAGUGGAACUGCGAGUGUAGAGGUGAAAUUCGUAGAUAUUCGCAAGAACACCAGUGGCGAAGGCGGAGCU
rnacentral:rRNA from 1 species